GUACCUAGUGAUUUAGUAUAGGCAAAAAUCUUUUGUUCGAGGUGUGAAACAUAUACUAAUUACAGGGUAACAAUCAUUACCUAAAGUUGAUAUGUAUUUUGUUGCAUUCUAUGUGUACAAUCCAUAUCAAAGACAGAAAAUAUCAUUUUGUGCAAUGCAUAGGUACAUGUAUGUUCCCGCCAUUUUGUUGACAGCCAGCCAUCAAGGGCUGGAGGUAUCUCUCGAAUGAGCUCCUUCACAAUUUCACAUAAUCAAAUUAGGUCUCUCUUACGACAUAAACUACAUGAAACAUCUCGUUCCUUUAAAUAUUGUUUGAGUUUGGAAACCUUAAGAGAAUGGAAAUCUAUCUUUAUUGUUUAAACAAUAUUCACGCUUCCACUGUCGUCAGGGGAGGUGCGGUUAUCAUCUCUGCCCAGCCAAUCAGAAUCGCGGAAGAAUUGCCCGCCGUCAAAACUUGUGAUGUCGGAGGUUUUGAGGUACAGCUGUUUUAGCCUGAUUAAUUCGAGUUCUCAUAAAAUUGGUGGAAAUUUGUGCGUCGGGGAAAUGCAACAGUGAUUCACGUUACCCAGAAAGGAUACUAGAAGUGAUGUUUAUCGCAUUUAGAAAACCAAAAUCACAAAAAGAUUAAUGUUUACGUUGGAUAAAGGCGUGCGGUAGGCCCCACAGUAAGAGCAAAAUGGACCGGCACACGUUUGUAUGUUUAAAAAUUAAUUGAAUAUACUUGUAACAGCAGCACAAGUCAGAGAAUUUACAAGACCAGUUAACAACAGCAGAAAAUGCCUAUCAUCAACAGAGCAUACUGAAUCAUCAUCUGCAACUCCAGUUAUCAAUGGAAGCCCAAGAUUAACCCCAACAACAGGCCACCCCUUUUAACAUUAACAGUAUUCUACAGCAAGAGAAAAAAAAAACCAGGGUUGUUUUUAUAUUUUACCAAUUUGAGACAUGCCACAUUUUC